UAGGGAAUUUUGCGCAAUGGACGAAAGUCUGACGCAGCAACACCGCGUGAGUGAUGAAGCAUCUUGGUGUGUAAAACUCUGUCAGAGGGGACGAAUUUUGACGGUACCCUCAAAGGAAGCAUCGGCUAACUACGUGCCAGCAGCCGCGGUAAGACGUAGGAUGCGAGCGUUGUCCGGAAUUAUUGGGCGUAAAGAGUUCGUAGGCGGCAUGUAAAGUCUGGUGUUAAAGCCCGGAGCUCAACUCCGGUUAGGCAUUGGAUACUUACAAGCUAGAGUGCAGAAGAGGCAAGGGGAAUUCCUAGUGUAGCGGUGAAAUGCGUAGAUAUUAGGAGGAACACCGGUGGCGUAAGCGCCUUGCUGGGCUGUAACUGACGCUGAGGAACGAAAGCCAGGGGAGCAAAUG
rnacentral:rRNA from 1 species